rnacentral:lncRNA from 1 species
GAAAUAUAAAUAACAUUUAAUUAGAGAAAAGAAGAUUAUUUACUCAUUUUUAACAGAAGUACCCCAAAAUUUACCACAUUUUCAGUGCAGUGUCUUCUUGAAGUAUGAAGUCAAACUAAUUCAUUAAAGUAUUUUUAAUAAAAACUAUAGUAAGUAUAUGUUGGCUGGAACAUUUGUGAAGACAAAUUAAUAUAUGAAAGCUACCCAGAGCAUAGUAACCCAUCCCACCCUUAGUAGGGAAACAGAAUCUUUCCUUUUUUAACAUGUACCAUUAGACUUUAUGUGAAAUAUUUACUGUAUGUUGCAUGACACAUAAACGAUACUGGUUUUCCAGGUAAAGCAGUCUCUAAUAAUAUGUCAACCCAGAAAACAUAUACAGAUGCUAGCUAGCCUUAGAUACACUACUUAUACAUUUAAAAAAAUAGAUGGGAGGGUCAAGCAAAACUUACAAAUUUGGUAAUUUCCUACUCUCCAGAUAUUUUGAACACAUCUAAGAAAUUUAAACAGAUAAGAUAGAAUAUGAUCUUAAAGAAGGGAACUCAAUAUUAGAGAAUAGUGAAACUGAGUUAUUAAAACCAAGGCAAUUGUUUUUUUUUUGAUGUCUUCAGUCUCUUGACUAAGACCUAAAU